UGUAACAUGUGAUGAAAGGGUGCGUGGAAGCAAAAGGCCAAUGACCCUAGUUUCUAUGGCCCAUGAGAGGAGUCAAGAAGAGGGAAAAGAGAGAAACACUCUCUCAUUUGGCAAACUCACCUUCAGACUCGUCUCUCCCUCCUUUCACUCUCAAAGAUCACAUGAAGUCGCCGCCACCACGCCGAAAAUCGCCUUCGGUAGCGGCACGGCUCAGAAUCAAACCUAACCACCACCAUUAGAUUCGUCCCACCCUCUCCUAUUCACACCCAUGCUUCAAUCACACAGGAAACUAACCCUACACAUUGAAAUCUCAGCUUAACAUUAACCCUAGAACAUUUGGAACUUAAAUUAAAUGGCUUUCACUCAUGACCUCAAGCUGCAACCAUGGGUGUUUCAUUCACACAAGUCCUCUCAACCACUUGGUAACAAAAGUGAAGCCAAGAAGAUGGAAGAGGGAGGUUUCAAUGUUUGCCUACAAGGAUGAGAAGUGCCUUGGUCAGAGCAACACGAUUAGCUGGUGAUAAUGAUAAAAGACCAGAGAGGAGGCUCUAAUGCUUAUGUCUGGUGCAGGUUUGGAUGGCUGGUGCAUUAUGAAGUCUUGGUGAUACAAGCAUGGCACUCUAUGAAAUUUUGGUCAUGGAGGCAAUAUGGUCAAGGUGAUGGAUGAAGAUGAAGAAGACUUGGAGAUUAGGUUAGAAAUAGGUCUAGAGUUAAAUCAGGGUUAGGUCAAACUUUGGUCAACUACUUGGUCAACUGUUCGACCAAAAGUCAACAAUUGACCAAAAGUCAACAGUUGACCAAAAGUCAUUUGUAGAUCAAAUAUAGAUUUUUUCAUGUACUCUUAUAGUAAUGUUGUUCUUGUAUGGAAUGUUAACUUGUAAUAAUAUUUUGGAAAUGUAAAUGUAAUGUUGACUUUCUAAUGAAGUUUCCCUCAUUUAGAAUUUGAA